UACGUAGGGUCCGAGCGUUGUCCGGAGUUACUGGGCGUAAAGGGCGCGUAGGCGGCCCUGUUAGUCAGGCGUGAAAGUCCUGGGCUCAACCUGGGAACUGCGCUUGAUACGGCAGAGCUAGAGGAUGGAAGAGGCUCGCGGAAUUCCCAGUGUAGAGGUGAAAUUCGUAGAUAUUGGGAAGAACACCGGUGGCGAAGGCGGCGAGCUGGUCCAUUACUGACGCUGAGGCGCGACAGCGUGGGGAGCAAACAGG
rnacentral:rRNA from 1 species